CAUUGAAACACCAAUUCCCAUAUGAUUACUGAAGUUAAGCAAAAUCGAGCCUGGUCAGUACUUAGAUGGGUAACCACUAUGGAAUAGCAGGUCCUGUAG